rnacentral:rRNA from 1 species
UUUUUAUAGUUAUUAUUUUAAGUAAAACCUGCUCAAUGUAUUAUAAAUAGCCGCAGAAUUUUUACUGUGCUAAGGUAGCAUAAUCAUUUGUCUUUUAAUUAAUGACUAGAAUGAAAGGUUAAACGAAUUAAAUAACUGUUUAUUUAAUAAAUAAUAAACUUUAUUUAAAAAUCUAAAAAGUUUUUAUCAAUUAAAAAGACGAUAAGACCCUAUUGAACUUUACUUUAGUUAAGCUGGGGUAGCUAUUUAAUAAAAAUUUAUUAAUAAAUAUUACAAAUAAUGACCCGAUUAUACCGAAUAAUAAAAUAAGUUACCAUAGGGAUAACAGCGUUAUAAAAUUUUAAAGCUCAUAUUUAAAAUUUAUCUUUGCGACCUCGAUGUUGAAUAAUUUAACUAAAAAGAGUAAAAACUAUAAUAGUAGGUCUGUUCGACCUUUAAAUAAUUACA